rnacentral:rRNA from 1 species
AUAAGGUUAAGUUAAUAAGGGCGCACGGUGGAUGCCUUGGCACUAGGAGCCGACGAAGGACGUGACAAACGACGAUAUGCCUUGGGUAGCUGUAAGUAAGCGAUGAUCCAGGGAUUUCCGAAUGGGGGAACCCAACAGGUAAUACCUGUUACCCACAUCUGUUAAGGAUGUGAGGAGGAAGACGCAGUGAACUGAAACAUCUAAGUAGCUGCAGGAAGAGAAAGCAAAAGCGAUUGCCUUAGUAGCGGCGAGCGAAACGGCAGAAGGGCAAACCGAAGAGUUUACUCUUCGGGGUUGUAGGACUGCAAUGUGGACUCAAAGAUUAUAGAAGAAUGAUUUGGGAAGAUCAGCCAAAGAGAGUAAUAGCCUCGUAUUUAAAAUAGUCUUUGUACCUAGCAGUAUCCUGAGUACGGCGGGACACGUGAAAUCCCGUCGGAAUCUGGGAGGACCAUCUCCCAACCCUAAAUACUCCCUAGUGACCGAUAGUGAACCAGUACCGUGAGGGAAAGGUGAAAAGCACCCCGGGAGGGGAGUGAAAUAGAACCUGAAACCGUGUGCCUACAACAAGUUCGAGCCCGUUAAUGGGUGAGAGCGUGCCUUUUGUAGAAUGAACCGGCGAGUUACGUUAUGAUGCGAGGUUAAGUUGAAGAGACGGAGCCGUAGGGAAACCGAGUCUGAAUAGGGCGCCUUAGUAUCAUGACGUAGACCCGAAACCAUGUGACCUACCCAUGAGCAGGUUGAAGGUGCGGUAAGACGCACUGGAGGACCGAACCAGGGC